GGUAAUGCCGGAUGCUCCAGUUGAUCGCAUGGUCUUCUGGGAAAGCUUUCGCGGUAUGGGAUGGGGUCGCGUCCUAUCAGCUUGACGGCGGGGUAACGGCCCACCGUGGCUUCGACGGGUAGCCGGCCUGAGAGGGCGACCGGCCACAUUGGGACUGAGAUACGGCCCAGACUCCUACGGGAGGCAGCAGUGGGGAAUAUUGCACAAUGGGCGCAAGCCUGAUGCAGCGACGCCGCGUGAGGGAUGGAGGCCUUCGGGUUGUAAACCUCUUUUAUCGGGGAGCAAGCGAGAGUGAGUUUACCCGUUGAAUAAGCACCGGCUAACUACGUGCCAGCAGCCGCGGUAAUACGUAGGGUGCAAGCGUUAUCCGGAAUUAUUGGGCGUAAAGGGCUCGUAGGCGGUUCGUCGCGUCCGGUGUGAAAGUCCAUCGCUUAACGGUGGAUCCGCGCCGGGUACGGGCGGGCUUGAGUGCGGUAGGGGAGACUGGAAUUCCCGGUGUAACGGUGGAAUGUGUAGAUAUC
rnacentral:rRNA from 3 species